rnacentral:rRNA from 1 species
CGAAAGCCUGACGGAGCAAUACCGCGUGAGGGAGGAAGGCUCUUGGGUCGUAAACCUCUUUUCUCAGGGAAGAAAAAAAUGACGGUACCUGAGGAAUAAGCAUCGGCUAACUCCGUGCCAGCAGCCGCGGUAAUACGGAGGAUGCAAGCGUUAUCCGGAAUGAUUGGGCGUAAAGCGUCCGCAGGUGGCAAUACAAGUCUGCUGUCAAAGGUCAAGGCUCAACUUUGGACAGGCAGUGGAAACUGUAUAGCUAGAGUGCGGUGGGGGCAGAGGGAAUUCCCAGUGUAGCGGUGAAAUGCGUAGAGAUUGGGAAGAACACCAGUGGCGAAAGCGCUCUGCUAGGCCGCAACUGACACUCAGGGACGAAAGCUAGGGGAGCG